rnacentral:lncRNA from 1 species
AUGACAGCUGGCCCUCGGCAGCGAGCUCUGCUGCACGGCUGUGCUUUCUUCCUGGGAGCUUUGUUUGUAAAUGCCACUAGGAAGAGUAGACGGAAGACUGUAAAACCACCUGUGACAAAUGUCCGCAGUGUCCUUGGAAGGUGUGCCAUUUGUAUGAUGUAUUUCCCAAAGAAACGAUCCUCCAAACCUCGGAAAUGUGUCUUGUUUUAG